rnacentral:ncRNA from 2 species
UGAGUUGGACUGGAAGAUGUCUAUUACAGAUCCUAAUUGAAGUAGCGAUUAUCCAGGCUUGUAUCCUGGGGGCUGAUGAGGAGUAGGGUUUCUGGACAACUUAAACAGAUCCAGAGUUAGUCGAUCCUAAUCUCAAUAAUGGGAGAAAGGGAGUACAGUUGAUAUUCUGUAACUGACAACAGUUCGCGGCAACGCAUACUAUUUUUCUCCGCCAAUCUUAUACCGUUGGUAGGGAUCUCUUUCCUACAUGACAGUACUAAUACCCAGGGAAACUGGUCAUCAGGCGAACUGCGGCGUUCUGCUGGCAAAACAUAGCUUCGGUUAUGUCAAUGGCUAUUGGAUUGGUCCAUGAAGCGAAAAAUAGUUUACUGUGUCACUCGUACCGAUAACCGCAUCAGGUCUUCUAGGUAAGUAGCCUAUGGCCAUUGAGGCAUGAUAGUUCAGGGAAUUCGGCCAAUUAGAGCUGUAACUUCGGGAUAAAGCUUGGCUCUGAUGAAAAUCAGAACCGAUUGUUACGCGGAGAGCCCAACUGUUUAAUAAAAACGUAGUGUCGCGCUGUGGUAGUAUAGCCAGUGAACGCGACAUGAAUCCUGCUCAGUGCUGUGUCUGUUAAUAUGGUUCAAGCCAACGAAGCACCGGUAAAUAGCUGGGGUAACUAUGACUCUUAUCAAAGUAGCGAAAUACCUCGUCACUUAAUUAGUGACCUGCAUGAACGGAGCUAUGAGGUUCUCACUGUCCCAAACUGUCUCUCAGCGAACCAACUGUAGUGGGAACGGUCACUAGAUAUCCAGCGGGGAAAGAAGACCCUGUAGAGCUUCACUUUGGUCUAGUCUUGUAUAGUUCCUGCGGGGGUGUAGACUAGGUGGGAGAGCAAUCGAUUCUGAAAAACCACUACCCUGUUUGGAAUUAUGCUUACCUAUCACAAGGAAUAGGACUAGAUAGAAAGUUUGGCUGGGGCGGCACACCUUCGAAAGAGCAGCGAACGUGUCCUAAGUUGAGCUCAGUGAGGACAGA